rnacentral:rRNA from 1 species
CUAUAACUCGAUAAUCCACGUAUAACCGACCUUCCUUUGAUACUACAGCAUGUGUACUGCCGUUGCAAGCAUACCUUUAAAAGAAUAAGUGUGCCACUAUGACUAAAUAAACAGCUCAUAUACAUCAGGUCAAAGUGCAGCUAAUAAGAAGGAGAUGAUGGGUUACAACCCUAAAAAAGACAAUCAACUAAGAAAUUAAAAAUCUUACGAAAGUGGACUUGGCCGUAAUCAAUUUACAAGUUAAAAAAAUGAAUAAACACCUAAGACAUGCACACAUCGCCCGUCACUCUACCCUAAAGGGUAGAUAAGUCGUAACAAAGUAGGUGUAAUGGAAAUUGUACCUGUCGAAGUAUAGCAUAUAUAAUGCUUUUUACUUACACUAAAGACAAAGUUAAAUAACUUGCUUCGCCCAUGUAACAAAAUCUUAUAAGUAAUCAAAUAAUAGAAACAACUAAACAAAUAUAAUAGACAACAAAGUACAGAAAUGGAAAUGAUAAUAAAUAAAAGUAAGUAUUAACAACUGUACCUUGUGCAUUAUGGUUUUACAAGAAAAUAGUUAAAAACAACAAUCCCGAAUUCUAAGUGAGAUGUUAAACUGCUGUUAUGAACUCACUAAUAGCUGUAGAAUAAGCUUUAAAAGACAGUUUGACAGAGGCUACAUACCACCCGCAUAAGAAUAUAGCUGGUUUUCAACAAACAUUAUACAUUAAAACAUAUAAUAAUAUUAUAGUGUAAAAUUAUUGAGGAUAAGCCCAAUAACUUACAGCAAUAAACACAAUAUAUUAAUCUACAACCAUAGGCCUAAAAUCAGCCAACUAUAAUACUUUACCGUAAUACACACUGAUAAAAUAUAUAACACAGGAACUGCUAAAAUAAGUUGAAAUAGUGGAAUAAUCAACCCAUCCACCUAUACUAUGUAAAAAUAAGUAUUAUAAAUAUAAAAUAUUAACAACCUAGUAAACAACAACACAUAAACAACUAUAAUUAAUUAAGGAACUCGGCAAACAUUAUUUCGACUGUUUAACAAAAACAUUGUCUCAUGUAAAAUAUAUGAGAUAAUACC